rnacentral:rRNA from 1 species
AGUAGGGAUCUUCCACAAUGGACGAAAGUCUGAUGGAGCAACGCCGCGUGAGUGAAGAAGGUUUUCGGAUCGUAAAACUCUGUUGUUGGAGAAGAAUGUAUCUGAUAGUAACUGAUCAGGUAGUGACGGUAUCCAACCAGAAAGCCACGGCUAACUACGUGCCAGCAGCCGCGGUAAUACGUAGGUGGCAAGCGUUGUCCGGAUUUAUUGGGCGUAAAGCGAGCGCAGGCGGUUUUUUAAGUCUGAUGUGAAAGCCUUCGGCUCAACCGAAGAAGUGCAUCGGAAACUGGGAAACUUGAGUGCAGAAGAGGACAGUGGAACUCCAUGUGUAGCGGUGAAAUGCGUAGAUAUAUGGAAGAACACCAGUGGCGAAGGCGGCUGUCUGGUCUGUAACUGACGCUGAGGCUCGAAAGCAUGGGUAGCAAACAGGAUUAGAUACCCUGGUAGUCCAUGCCGUAAACGAUGAGUGCUAGGUGUUGGAGGGUUUCCGCCCUUCAGUGCCGCAGCUAACGCAUUAAGCACUCCGCCUGGGGAGUACGAUCGCAAGAUUGAAACUCAAAGGAAUUGACGGGGCCUGCC